GUAGGUGGCAAGCGUUGUCCGGAAUUAUUGGGCGUAAAGCGCGCGCAGGCGGUUUCUUAAGUCUGGUGUGAAAGCCCACGGCUCAACCGUGGAGGGUCAUUGGAAACUGGAGAACUUGAGUACAGAAGAGGAAAGCGGAAUUCCACGUGUAGCGGUGAAAUGCGUAGAGAUGUGGAGGAACACCAGUGGCGAAGGCGGCUUUCUGGUCUGUAACUGACGCUGAGGCGCGAAAGCGUGGGGAGCAAACAGGAUUAGAUACCCUGGUAGUCCACGCCGUAAACGAUGAGUGCUAAGUGUUAGGGGGUUUCCGCCCCCCUUAGUGCUGCAGCUAACGCAUUAAGCACUCCGCCUGGGAGUACGGCCGCAAGGCUG
rnacentral:rRNA from 1 species